rnacentral:lncRNA from 1 species
UAAUCUUUUGAUGAUGCAGCCUCCUCCUUCUCUUGACAAUGUAUAUAAUAUGGUCCUCAAUGAUGAGAAGCAAAGACAAAUUCAGUCUUCCUCUCACUUUGAUCCAGCCUCUGUCUCUUUCAAUGUACAUACAAACAGGUAGCCUGCUGGAUUUAACAAGGUCACAGUGUCUGUUCCUCCUCCUCCUUUCAAACAGAGAGUCAAUUUUGACCAACAGAGAGUCAAUUUUGACCAAGCCAGGAGACCUUUAUUUUGUAGAUACUAUAAAAAAUCUGGACACUUAAUUGAUAAGUGCUUCAAGAUCCAUGGGUAUCCAAAAGUACCACUUUUAACAAGGGAAGGAGACCUACUGCUGCUCACCUGAGUACUGGUCUAGAUUCUCCUAUUUCUGAUGGACUGUUGUCUGUUCCUCAAGGGAAUCCUCCUGCUAGCCAUCAAUCUGUUGCAAGAAUAGAUGGCCAGAGCUCUGUGAUACCUGUUCCUCAAGGGAAUCCUCCUGCUGGCCAUCACUCUGUUGCAAGACUGGAUGGCCAAAGCUCUGUGAUACCAGGGUUGAGCAGACCUGAUUAUGACCAGUUGAUGAACUUGUUACACCAUACCAAGUUGGGGGAAUCCACUGCUCAAACUCCUCCUCCCAUAUUUACUGCAAACUUUGCUGGUACUAUGUUAACUGAGAACCCUGUAUCUGAUUCCAAACUUUGCUUGCUUACUCACAUUAAUUCUGUCACCUGGAUUAUAGAUUCAGGUGCCUCUAAUCACAUGACACAUGAUAAACAACUACUUUUUAACAUUAUACCUUUUAACUCUGCCAUAUCUUGUCACUCUUCCAAAUGGCUAUAAAGUGAAAGUGACUUGCACUGGCUCCUUUGCCUUGACUUCUUCCAUCAGUCUUCACAAUGUACUGCUAGUUCCUUCUUUCAAACACAACUUGAUUUCUGUUCAUAAGUUAGUGAAACAGUUGCAUUGUAUUGUUAUGUUCACUGAACAUUCCUGCUUACCACACAUGAUACAGGACCCUUCUCUGAGGAGGCCACUGGAUCUUGAUAGAGAAGCUGUUGGCCUGUAUAAACUAGCUUGGGUUCCUUCUUCCCCUUCUCCCUCUGUUAAUUGUUCUUCCACUUCUGUUUCUCCUGUAUCUGCUUCUUGUAAUGAUAACAAAAUUGUUGCAUUGCCUUCUGUGUCUGCUUCUUGUAAUGAUGACAUCUUGUCUGAUAACAAGGUUGUUCCUUUGCCUUCACAUGUGAAUAGUUCCAUCUGUAAUAAUGAAUUUGCAUCUUAUAUGAAUUACAUUUGGCACUUAAGGCUUGCACAUACUCCAUUUGCAAAUAUGAAAUGCAUUUN